AACGAACGCUGGCGGCAUGCCUAACACAUGCAAGUCGAACGAGACCUUCGGGUCUAGUGGCGCACGGGUGCGUAACGCGUGGGAACCUGCCUUUAGGUUCGGAAUAACUCAGAGAAAUUUGAGCUAAUACCGGAUGAUGUCUUCGGACCAAAGAUUUAUCGCCUUUGGAUGGGCCCGCGUUGGAUUAGCUAGUUGGUAGGGUAAAGGCCUACCAAGGCGACGAUCCAUAGCUGGUCUGAGAGGAUGAUCAGCCACACUGGGACUGAGACACGGCCCAGACUCCUACGGGAGGCAGCAGUGGGGAAUAUUGGACAAUGGGCGAAAGCCUGAUCCAGCAAUGCCGCGUGAGUGAUGAAGGCCUUAGGGUUGUAAAGCUCUUUUACCCGAGAUGAUAAUGACAGUAUCGGGAGAAUAAGCUCCGGCUAACUCCGUG
rnacentral:rRNA from 1 species